AGUACCCAGCCCACUGAACUGUCCCGCAGCCCAAAUCGAUCCCUGAUUCUCUCUCUAGCGAUUUGGUCCUCAAUCCAUUUUCCGCCACCUCGCCCGUAGUGUCGCCUGAGAAGUGUCAGAACCAGCUAGAGAGCAGCCCGAGAACGUUGCCAUCGAAACCACACCCUUCACCACCGCGCCUAACAAGAAUAAAUUAUUCUAAAUAUGGCAUUUGGAGUAGACUGAGGCGAACACAACUUAAAUUUCUUUCCCAGUUCAAGAGAUGGUAUUUUCAAAUCAAUAAAGUCAUGAGCACAGGAAAAGUUUAACGUAAUUUAUACCGAUGCUGAUGUGGCAAAAUUUCGCCAACAAUGUCAGAUUCUUUGCAGCAUCCAUUCAGGCUAAAGAGAAGAAGGAAGAGAAGGACACCAGUGGGCCUAGAUUGAACGAGCAAAUUACGGCCCAGAUCCUUAGACUCGUUACUGAUGAAGGUUGAUAGAAAUGCCAAGCAACCUGUAUGCAAAAUUGUGGACUACAGCAAAGAGAAGUACCAACAACAAUUAAAGGAAAAAGAGCGUUGUAAAAGCAAGGCAAGUUACUUUUUUUCAAAUUGAUAUGGUACUUUGGAUGUAGUUUUCUUGUAAUAAUUUCCAGCUAAGAAACAUGUAAGGACUUAAUAAGCUUCUCAUGUUAUCAAAAGAUUGAGAACACACUUUCUCAUAAUCACAUUUGGUGAUGCUGGAUGUAUAGGAACGAUUGUAAGAGUAGGGGAAAGGGGAGGAAGAAGAGAAAGGAGGGAGAAAAGAGAGGAGGGGGAGAGGAAGAGAGAAAUUGGAGAAGAAAAUAUCAAUUAUUCAUUCAUUCAAAGGUUGUCUUUAUUACAUUGCAUAGCCCCCUUUAUAUAGGGUUUCAAAGGACCUUAUUCUAAGUAAGAAAAUAUUAUAAAAGCUAAUAAAUAAAAUCAUUAUAAUGUUUCUUAAAAUACGAUUUAAAAUUGGAAACUAAAUAAAUAAAAUCCCUUAUAAUACUCCAUCAUUAGGUUGUAGCUCUGUUGGUAUGCUUGAAACCUUGAUGAGGUUUUCUGAAACUUCUGUUCCUUUUUCCUUACCGCCACCCUUAAAAGGCUCCAUAUCUCUCUAAUGCUAAAGAAAAUAUAUGCACUAAAAUUCUUCAGUUAUCAGGAAAGAUAAAUGUGUUAAUUUUUCUUUUUCAUAUAAUGUUCAUUGCUUAGCAGCACUCACAAUUCACAGAGUGCGGGUGAAGGUGUAUGUGUGUUGUCAUGUCCAUAAUCCAAAUUCCAAGGUUUGCCAUUUUGGAGUAUCUAUUAAGUACAUGAAAUAUUAAUAUUUUUGUAAUUUUACAAAGCUGGAAAUUGCACCAGGAUUAUUGUAUCAUUUGCCUAUCCAUAGUCUUUAGUUUGGAUCCCAACAUUGAGUGGCGAAAUAAGUGACUAAGAUGAGACCAACUCCAAGUACUCAAUAUGUGAUCACAGAAGAUUAACACUAGCAUUUUUAAUUGAGGGAUGAUUCCACCAUUAUGUUCAAUGAAUUUGCAACAGCGAUAAGGAUUUCAAAUGGUACAACAGCAAACACAUGGUUUUGAGGAGGAAAAAUGUGGAUUUUGAAUGCAUUACUUGAGUAUCUAGUUUGUUUGACUUAUUGAUUACUGCAGUGUGAACUUAAGAAAGGAGCUUGCAAAGAAGUUCAAUUUGCAGCUAAAAUUGAACAGGAUCUGAAAAAAUCUCUCUUCAUAAAGUGAGUACUUGUCUAAAUUGUUUCUUUAGCCUCCUGUUAUCUGAACUUGGUCUUUUUUUUUUUUUUUGAUCGGUAAAUGUGAAUUAUAUUGAUCAAAACCAUGUACAAAAACUCCGGCAUUCCCGGGCAAAAGAAACUAAAAAAAAAAAAAAACAAUCUAGAGACCUAAAGCAAUGGACUCGUAACUAAUCAAAACAUUCGGAUACAAAGAAAACAUAACUUUGUAUAUGUGUGUUUUAAUCGUAUGAGUAGUACAAUCAACAUUCAAUUUAAGAUCUUCAAAAAUCAACUUGUUCCUUCCCAUCUAAAUAUGGUAGACUUUGGUCACAAGUGCAAUACAUUUCACCUUGCUAUGCCAAGUAGUGCCUCGACUCUCCUUUUUAAUCCAAUGCGCUUUGAAUUGUAGACAUAGAUCGCUUGAGACCCACCCAUGUACGUAUAUUAUCCCAAACUGAUCGGCUGAAAAAACAUUCAAAAAACAAGUGCGCCAAAGAUUCACCCGUAAGUGUACAAAAGCUACAUCGGUUGUCUAUCUCGAACUUGGUCUUUGGAUGUACUUUACAUGUAUUGCUUUUUUCACUCAGAGAAGAAAAUGUUGAAUUUCACCCCGCUUUAAAUGAAAACUUAUGCUUCAUACAACUUAUGGUAAUUAUGAGAUACUUUCGAACUAUAACUCCCAGAAACAAAAAGAUAUGCAGAUGAAGGCAGAUACAGCUAAGAGACUCAUGGAAAGUGGUUAUCGAGUCAAGCCAUUGAGCCUUCUGACGAGUUGGACCUGGAAAGUUUACUCUCUCUAUUUUCUGCUUUGAUUGAAGAUGUUGCCAUUGUGGAAAGUGAACCAAGAGUUGACAAACAACAGGCUUACGUGGUUGUUAGGCAUGCCAAGUUUGGUCCAUC